UAAAAGUUUAAUACAAUAAGUAUUCCAAAAGCUAUUACAUCAAAUGAGUGGCUUUGUGGGCAUACUUCCAACACGGAAUGUGAUGUAACAAGCUUGACUUCAAUUCGAACUCGUCUGUCUUCCCUUGGGCUGCCGUGGGGUAUUGGAUGCAUAAAGGCAUUGCAUUGUCCACACCCGAGGCAGAAAGCUCUUUGAUGGUUCGAUUAUCCGCUGCCAUGUCUUGCACUUCCUCCACAACCUAUGUCGUGGGGUCUUCUUCCUCCUCUACUACUUGUUCUUCAAACUCAGGUUCAAGGCUAGGUGGAUUAGAUGCUUGCUGAUUCCUCUUCCUUUCAAAGUCCUCUCAAAAUCGUCGUCAAAGUUAAAUAUGUGCUCACGAAUAGGUUGAGAACUUCGAGUCAUACACUUGUACCUAAAAACAAGAAAACAAAACAAGUCAGCAACUAAAAUAAAAACACAUGAAAAUAAAUAAAAAGAAACAAUAAGGAAUUAGCAAAGUUGCUAAACCCCGACAACGGCGCCAAAAUUUGAUGUGAAAAUUAACUUGACACACAAAUUAAACCCUCUUAUUGACAACUGUAGUAAAGAUGUAAGUAGGGAUCAUUCUGGACUAGGGAUUAGGAGGGAUUGCAAUCUAUGCUAAACUGACUUUAAAACACAAAACUAGGCUUGAAAAUACUUAACUAGACUCAAAGAAUGGAAAUCUAGACUCUAAGGGGGCGUUUGUUUGCCCUCACUAAGUGAGACUUGACUGGACUGGACUAGCUGUUAGUCCAAUACUGUGUUUGUUCCAUGCUGGGACUAACAUUAAUGAGACUAAAGGGGACUAGCAUGGACAAAACCCUUCACUAAAAGGUCUUAGCGAGACCCCGUAAUAACCAUGGGACUAGCUAAGACUAUCCUUUCUUGUCCUCGUCAUGCUCAACAACCACUCCCGAUAGACUCCUCGUCAUCUCCGGUCACCUAGAUCAUAAUAAAAUAUUAAUAAUUUAUAUAUUAAAUAAUAUAAUAUUAGAAUUUGUUAUUAUCCAGCUUCUUAGUCCAACACUGCACCAAACGCUUCACUAAGUUAGUCCAGCUUAGUCUAGUCUAAGCCAGUCCAGCUUAGUCCUUGAAGCUAGUCCAGUCCGAGAUAGUCCGGUGCAACAAACACCCCCUAAUACACUAAAACAACUCAAAUGACUCAAACAGCACAAAACAAGCUAAUUAGACUCAAACUAGACACUAGGACUGAAUUUGGUCGAAAAUUGGUUUUACCUUGACUCAAAACACUUAAAAACACAAACUAAAACAGUUUCUAACUAAUAUGACUCAACAAAGUAAAGGAGGAUUUGGUUUUGACGAAUUUUAAGUAAAAACAAAUAACUAAAGACUUAGAACAGAUUGUAAAUGAAUUUGGGAAAUAAGAUGGUUGAUAGAUUAGCUGGAGGUCCAUUCUUCACACAUGACACACUUGUACAUGAAUCAAUUUCCAAUUGCUUUUCAAUAAAUUAUGAAGCUCAACACCCCAGAUUAACCAUGAUGCACUAAAUAACCCUCAGAUUUUCCUUUACUCAUUGAAUUGGAUGAAUGCAUGCAACAACCCAAAUCAUUCUCCAAAAGGACCCCUACAUGAAUGCAUAAUAGAGAUACAAUCAAACAUCUUUACGUUCCAUGAAAAUCAUAAGUGUUGACAAGACAUUCGUAACUAUGAAUGCAUGAUACGUUUGCCAAGAAUUCAAUUAACGCGAUUGUGACUAGCAACCUUCACUACUCAUGAAUAUAAAUUUGUAACGAUUAGGUGAAACUCAUUUAUAUUCUAGCAUCAAAUUCAUGCAUGAAAACUAAGUAUGCAUCCCUAAUCAACAUACAAGAAUCAGUUUUGAAGAAAACAGUUAAUUGAAUUGCAUUCACAACUUAUCAAAUCACAAUUGGAAGAAAUCAAUUCAUAUCUUAAGGAUGUUCAUGGCUUCGAAUUUCCCCCUCGCUAAGUAGGGGUUUAGCCACUUAUGUUCAUAGAAAAAGAAAAGAAAGAAAUUAAACAUUGUAAAUAUAGAACGAAUUACACCUAGAAUGCUCCAACAAUCAAGCUCAAACAUCCAAGAGUCUUCCCUUCUUUCUUCUUGUUUUGGCACAAAGGUGGAUAAAGUGUAUGAGAUGUGUUUUGGGGUCCGGAAUGAUGGUUUUGGUUGAAUGGGGCUGAGGCAAAGAUGUAUGGUGGUGGAGAAUGAUGUAGAAUGGUGUAUAGGGUGCGGCAGAUUAUGUUUCUGAAUGAUAUGGGGGGAGGUGACGCAUUUUGGCUAAAAAACUUAUAUUUAUAGGCUAGGGUUUUGUAGAAAAAGGCUUGGCCCAAUCCAAGGGGGAAAAGAACUAGGGUUUCUGCAGAUUUUAGGGCUUCUAGAAGUAUAAGGUGCGGCACCUAUUUAGGUUUUCUAGAAAGGAAGUCUUGUGGCAGGUUCUUGAACUUCUAGAAAGCUUUAGGGCGCCACCUUUUUAGGGCUUCUAGAAAGGGUGGUGCGGCAUGUGUUUAAGUGAAGGGAUAGGCCUUCUAGAAGGGAUUUAGGUGCCCUUACAGCUGAAUAUUCAUCUUCCAAGUCUUGAAUUGAUUUCUCCAUCUCUUUAGCACGUUCCUAGCUUCAUUUGAUCUUCAAAAACGUCCAUUCCUUAUGCUCCACAUGCUUGCAAUCCAAUUCAGCCCAAAAGUGCUUCAAAAUGCAUCAAAUUACGCUUUCUUGCCAACUUUGCCAAUUAGACCUACAAACACACGAAAAUAGCUUAAAACACUAUAAUAAGUAGAAACGAGCUAUGAAAAUGCAAGAAAACAAAACCUAAACCUUCCAACGUUUGUCUCAGAGUUUUCAAUGACGCAUGACAUAUUAAAAAUCACUACUCACAUGGAUUUUAGUUAUCCUUACCCUCGAGCACAUACUUAAUCACAAUCACCACUCACUAGCUCGCAUUUAAUCAAUUAAAACAUGGUUUUGAUGGUAGUAGCAUGCCUUAGAGAAUUCCCUCAAUUCCUGAAGGUAUAUUUUGUGAAAACAUGUUCAUUUGAAUAACAUCUAUAGCAUGCUAAUAACAAUUAAAAGGCGGAAUCAUGCUUGCAUGCAUUCAAAAACAAAACAUUAACCAAGAAAUUCAAAGCCUAGUAGAUUGGUGAACCAAAACUCAACUCAAAACAAAG
rnacentral:lncRNA from 1 species